GAAACGGAACGGACGGACAGCAGCGACGGCACAUACGACGCACGGGUAGCUGAUUCCGUCCCUCCAGUAUCGUCCCCCGUUGGACCGACAAACGGCACGGUCCCUGGUGCAGUCGGUAACUUCACCAGCACCCUGCCUGGUGACACGGUCCCUGGUGCAGCGAGGAAUAUCACCGGCACCAAGCCGUCUUCAGCUAACAGCAGCAGCUUCGGGAACACAGCCGAGGAACGGAAUAGUUCUCCAUUGGCCGAAUCAGAGCGGAGAGCAGCUCAGUCGUUGAAUGGCACGUCUGCAAAGCAGUCCAACGGGACCAACGCUGAAAGUCGCGUGAUUGCGAUUACUGACGACGGUCUAGUUCGAGAGAAAAUCCAAUCGUCGAAUCGAUUGGCAAAUGAAACGACGACGGCAAGCACAAACGAGACACAGGCCUCGACAAAUGUAACAGACUUUACACUAGAACAAAAGGUAGCAUCUAAUGAACAUUUGUUGCGAAAGUUCAAAGUAAAACUCGGUUCUAAAACAGCCUCAAACAAACAGCUUUGGAAGAAGUUGUUUGGGGGCACUGCGGCAAAGAAGAACUCUGGGCCACCGAGCAGCGCCCAGCCUUCUCGGCCGAGAAAACGUUACAGAGGCCGGACAACGAUCAGACUCGGAUAGAUUUACCACCAAUGUCAAAAUCCAUAAUCUGUGAAAUAUAUGACCAGCUCGCAAGGAAUAAAAAAUUCACCUAUCG